AUUGAACGCUGGCGGUAGGCCUAACACAUGCAAGUCGAACGCGAAAGUCCUUCGGGAGUGAAUAGAGUGGCGGACGGGUGGAGUAACGCGUAGGAAUCUAUCCUGUAGUGGGGGAGUAACGUUUCGUAAAGGGACGCUAAUACCGCAUACGCCCCAACGGGGGAAAGGACGGGGGAGUCUUCGGACCUCGUGCUAUAGGAGGAGCCUGCGUCGGAUUAGCUAGUUGGUGAGGUAAAGGCUCACCAAGGCGACGAUCCGUAGCUGGUCUGAGAGGAUGAUCAGCCACACCGGAACUGAGACACGGUCCGGACUCCUACGGGAGGCAGCAGUGGGGGAAUAUUGCGCAAUGGGCGAAAGCCUGACGCAGCCAUACCGCGUGCGUGAAGAAGGCCUCGGUUGUAAGACUCUUUAGUCCGACUGAUUAUAAUAGACUGUAGUCGG
rnacentral:rRNA from 1 species